rnacentral:rRNA from 1 species
CCUACACGACCGUACCGCAAACCGACACUGGUGCGCGAGAUGAGUAUUCUAAGGCGCUUGAGAGAACUCGGGAGAAGGAACUCGGCAAAUUGACACCGUAACUUCGGAAGAAGGUGUGCCUUUAGUAGGUGAAGUCCCUCGCGGAUGGAGCCCAAUGAGGUUGCAAAAAAUCGGUGGCUGCGACUGUUUAUUAAAAACACAGCACUCUGCAAACACGAAAGUGGACGUAUAGGGUGUGACGCCUGCCCGGUGCUGGAAGAUUAAAUGAUGGGGUGCAAGCUCUUGAUUGAAGUCUCAGUAAACGGCGGCCGUAACGAUAACGGUCCUAAGGUAGCGAAAUUCCUUGUCGGGUAAGUUCCGACCUGCACGAAUGGCGUGACGAUGGCCACACUGUCUCCUCCCGAGACUCAGCGAAGUUGAAAUGUUUGUGAUGAUGCAAUCUCCCCGCGGAAAGACGGAAAGACCCCAUGAACCUUUACUGUAGCUUUGUAUUGGACUUUGAACAGAUCUGUGUAGGAUAGGUGGGAGGCUUUGAAGUAGGAUCGCUAGAUCUUAUGGAGCCAACGUUGAAAUACCACCCUGGUGUGUUUGAGGUUCUAACCUAGGUCCAUUAUCUGGAUCGGGGACAGUGCAUGGUAGGCAGUUUGACUGGGGCGGUCUCCUCCCAAAGCGUAACGGAGGAGUUCGAAGGUACGCUAGUUACGGUCGGACAUCGUGACGAUAGUGCAAUGGCAUAAGCGUGCUUAACUGCGAGACUGACAAGUCGAGCAGAUGCGAAAGCAGGACAUAGUGAUCCGGUGGUUCUGUAUGGAAGGGCCAUCGCUCAACGGAUAAAAGGUACUCUGGGGAUAACAGGCUGAUACCGCCCAAGAGUUCAUAUCGACGGCGGUGUUUGGCACCUCGAUGUCGGCUCAUCUCAUCCUGGGGCUGUAGCCGGUCCCAAGGGUAUGGCUGUUCGCCAUUUAAAGAGGUACGUGAGCUGGGUUUAAAACGUCGUGAGACAGUUUGGUCCCUAUCUUCCGUGGGCGCUGCAGAUUUGAGGAAGCCUGCUCCUAGUACGAGAGGACCGGAGUGGACACACCUCUGGUGUAUCGGUUGUCACGCCAGUGGCAUUGCCGAGUAGCUAAGUGUGGAAGAGAUAACCGCUGAAAGCAUCUAAGCGGGAAACUCGUUUCAAGAUGAGAUCUGCCGGGGCCUUGAGCCCCCUAAAGAGCCGUUCAAGACCAGGACGUUGAUAGGUCGGGUGUGGAAGCGCAGUAAUGCGUUAAGCUAACCGAUACUAAUUGCUCGUGCGGCUUGACCUG